AUACAUAGGGGGCAAGCGUUGUCCGGAAUUAUUGGGCGUAAAGCGUGCGUAGGCGGUUUAUUAAGUCUGAUGUUAAAUCCCACAGCUCAACUGUGGGCUGCCAUUGGAAACUGGUAGACUUGAGUGCGGUAGAGGUAAGUGGAAUUCCAAGUGGAGCGGUGGAAUGCGUAGAUAUUUGGAGGAACACCAGUGGCGAAGGCGGCUUACUGGGCCGUUACUGACGCUGAGGCACGAAAGCGUGGGGAGCAAACAGGAUUAGAUACCCUAGUAGUCCACGCUGUAAACGAUGACAACUAAAUAUUGCCGCGAGGCAGUGUUGAAGCUAACGCAUUAAGUUGUCCGCCUGGGGAGUACGGUCGCAAGACUGAAACUUAAAGGAAUUGACGGGG
rnacentral:rRNA from 1 species